AUUGGAGAGGUGUGGGGGGGGGGAACAAGACCCGCCCUCCGAGCUUUUCUGCGCUGCCCGAGGCUGGAGUGCGGGUCCAAAAUAUUAGACGUGUCUAUGCUCAGCCUGAAAGCUUUCUACAGGAAUGCAUAGAAUUCUGGUACUAUCAGUCAGCUCCGCAUAAGUGUCCUGC